rnacentral:rRNA from 1 species
AUUGAACGCUGGCGGCAUGCUUUACACAUGCAAGUCGGACGCGUGGCGGACGGGUGAGUAACACAUCGGAACGUACCCAGUAACGGGGGAUAACUGCUCGAAAGGGCGGCUAAUACCGCAUAUUAUUCGAGCGGCCGAUGUCUGAUUAGCUGGUUGGCGGGGUAAAGGCCCACCAAGGCGACGAUCAGUAGCGGGUUUGAGAGGAUGAUCGGCAACACUGGGAAUGAGACACGGCCCAGACUCCUACGGGAGGCAGCAGGGGGGAAUUGUGGACAAUGGGGGAAACCCUGACACAGCCAUGCCGCGUGAAUGAAGAAGGCCUUCGGGUUGUAAAGUUCUUUCGGUAGCGAAGCGUUAACCACAGAAGAAGCACCGGCUAACUCCGUGCCAGCAGCCGCGGUAAUAC